CAUGCAAGUCGAACGGUAACAGGUCUUUCGGGAUGCUGACGAGUGGCGAACGGGUGAGUAAUACAUCGGAACGUGUCUAGUAGUGGGGGAUAACUACUCGAAAGAGUGGCUAAUACCGCAUGAGAUCUAUGGAUGAAAGCAGGGGACCUUCGGGCCUUGUGCUACUAGAGCGGCCGAUGGCAGAUUAGGUAGUUGGUGAGAUAAAAGCUUACCAAGCCUACGAUCUGUAGCUGGUCUGAGAGGACGAUCAGCCACCCUGGGACUGAGACACGGCCCAGACUCCUACGGGAGGCAGCAGUGGGGAAUUUUGGACAAUGGGUGCAAGUCUGAUCCACCAAUGCCGUGUGCACGAUGAACGCCUUCGGGUUUUAAACUGCUUUUGUACUGAACGAAACGUCUUGGGUUAAUACCCCGGGAUC
rnacentral:rRNA from 1 species